CCUACGGGAGGCAGCAGUGGGGAAUCUUGCGCAAUGGGCGAAAGCCUGACGCAGCCAUGCCGCGUGAAUGAUGAAGGUCUUAGGAUUGUAAAAUUCUUUCACCGGGGACGAUAAUGACGGUACCCGGAGAAGAAGCCCCGGCUAACUUCGUGCCAGCAGCCGCGGUAAUACGAAGGGGGCUAGCGUUGCUCGGAAUUACUGGGCGUAAAGGGAGCGUAGGCGGAUAGUUUAGUCAGAGGUGAAAGCCCAGGGCUCAACCUUGGAAUUGCCUUUGAUACUGGCUAUCUUGAGUUUGGGAGAGGUGAGUGGAACUCCGAGUGUAGAGGUGAAAUUCGUAGAUAUUCGGAAGAACACCAGUGGCGAAGGCGACUCACUGGCCCAAUACUGACGCUGAGGCUCGAAAGCGUGGGGAGCAAACAGGAUUAGAUACCCUGGUAGUCCACGCCGUAAACGAUGAGUGCUAGUUGUCGGCAUGCAUGCAUGUCGGUGACGCGAGCUACGACAUAAGUACACUCCGCCGUCGGGAGGUACGGUCGCGAGAAUUAAACGUUAAAACGGUAAAGUUAGUACGGCGUGAGACGUAGCCGACGGACGACGACGAGGGAGGUAGG
rnacentral:rRNA from 1 species